UAGCGCUCGCUACCGCCGCCGUCGCCGCCGCGGUCGACCACGACCCCGCGCCGGCGCCUCAUCCCGCACCUCGACUGCACCCUCGCUUCUACCCCUUCCGUUGGAUAGGAACGGAUCCGCCCGACUACCCCGCGCUGCCUCCCGCCACAGGUGAGUGUGCCCUCCACCACGCUUCUCCCUCCCUCGCUGUCGAUCUGCCCCGGGCGAUGCAGUGCGCGGCCGCGGCAGCAUCUCCAACCUACUAGGCAGUAGACUAGUACCUCCACUGCUAAUUCCCUCGUUCGGCCGGGCUGAUGGAUUUGUUAAUCCUCCCGAGGCGGAAGCAAUCUGCUGCUAGCUGCUUUAAAAGCAAGGCACAUAUGGCGGUGCGCGGCCUAAAAUCUGAGACGAUCUGCAAGGGCCAAGGAAAGAUUUUCCUUGCAGUAGUUCCUCAGUCGAAGCACCGGCAAAGAUGAGCAUCUUGAUCUGCGACUUGGAAACUAGAAACAUUUGUUUGGCAACUGCAAAUCAUUGGUGUAACUAAAGAAUGCCUUACUGCAGAUCUUGUAAUCUUUAGUGGCCAUCUUAGUUCACCCUUUUUUAUUAUUGAUGAUUGAUGUACUAAUCCUAGUUUGAUUGAUGAUAGAACGAUGCAGUUGUGAUUUUUGUUUUCACUCAGUAUUUUAAUUUAUUUUCUAUCAAAUGUAAUCGAUACUCAUUGGGGAUU